CGGGUGAGUAACGCGUGGGUAACCUGCCUCAUACAGGGGGAUAACAGUUAGAAAUGACUGCUAAUACCGCAUAAGCGCACAGAGCUGCAUGGCUCGGUGUGAAAAACUCCGGUGGUAUAAGAUGGACCCGCGUUGGAUUAGCUAGUUGGUGAGGUAACGGCCCACCAAGGCGACGAUCCAUAGCCGGCCUGAGAGGGUGAACGGCCACAUUGGGACUGAGACACGGCCCAG
rnacentral:rRNA from 1 species